rnacentral:rRNA from 1 species
UGGGGAAUACUGGGCAAUGGGCGAAAGCCUGACCCAGCAACGCCGCGUGAAGGAAGAAGGCCUUCGGUUGUAAACUUCUUUAUCAGGGACGAAGGAAGUGACGGUACCUGAUGAAUAAGCCACGGCUAACUACGUGCCAGCAGCCGCGGUAAUACGUAGGUGGCAAGCGUUGUCCGGAUUUACUGGGUGUAAAGGGCGUGUAGCCGGGCCUUUAAGUCAGAUGUGAAAUCCGCGGGCUUAACCCGCGAACUGCAUUUGAAACUGAGGGUCUUGAGUAUCGGAGAGGUAAUCGGAAUUCCUAGUGUAGCGGUGAAAUGCGUAGAUAUUAGGAAGAACACCAGUGGCGAAGGCGGGUUACUGGACGACAACUGACGGUGAGGCGCGAAAGCGUGGGGAGCGAAACAGGAUUAGAUACCCU